rnacentral:lncRNA from 1 species
GGGUGGCUGACUUGAUGGGGUGAGGGAGACUGCUAGAGGAGACAAAAAAACCCGAAAGAAGUGAGGAAUAAAGAUUGCAGCUUUUGAGUGUCUUCCACCUUCUAUAGUAACUGAAUCACAGAUGAAUCACAGAAUAUUCUGAGUUAGAAGCGACCCACAAGCACCAGGGAGUCCAGCUCUUGAAUAUGAAUGGCCCAUGCAGGGGGCCAAUUCAGUCCCAUUUUGGGACUGAACCCACAAUUUUGACAUUUGCUAUUAAGUAGUAUUAUCAUGUAUUUUUUAUUGCAUUUGAGGCAUUACAGAGAUUUCCGUAGGAAAUAUUAUUGCUAAAUUAGACUUAUUAAUGUCAUCACUUGUAAAUUCAGACACAAGCUUAGAUCUUGAUAUUUACCAGCAGAUGUGCUCAAGACGAAAUAUUUUGCAGAUGUAAUUUGGUGCUUGCAGCAAGGAGAUGAGACUGACAGAUGAUGCACUCAUAUUUACAGAGUGUGGUUCCAUUGUCCUGACACCUAGCAUGAUCUUCAUUCACAACGAGUUUGAUAUCUGCUAUGAAAUGCCUAUGAGUAAGUGCUGAAUGUUCAGCAUUUCAGAAGGAAAAUAUUUUCAUUGAAGCAGAUGUUUCUCAGAUUCUUCAGGAGCCUAAAACAUUUCCUGAAAGUGUUGCUACUCUCCACAGGGAAAGACAGAACAGAUCUUCAUUUGGAAAUGAAGCAUCUCGUGAUGAAAAAAAUUUCGACUGCUUCAGAGGAAGACAAAAGGCAUGAACAUAUGAAGAGGAAUGCUGAAGAAAGAUGGACCACAAAGAUUUGUGAUUAUUUCCAGAAUGUUAUGUCACAAGUGACAAAAACUUAGCAGUCUAUCAGUUCGGUUCUCUGAUAUGAUCAUGUGAAAAGAAAUAUAAAAAAAUAGGCCCUAGUAAAGCAAUUUACAGCUACAGAAAACCCCAGCUGAAUGCUCUGAUUGUUAAUGUGUUUGUACCUUUACAAAUUUUAAUUGGAUAAUCUAUCAUCAAAACUUUAUUCCAUGUAUGGCAGCAACCGUAAAAUUAAAGGUAAAGGUUUCAAGGAUGUGAAACUGAAUUUCUAGAAGACAAACUGCUUUUGAUGUGAGGUAUAUGUGUGUGUCCUUUUGUUGCUCAGCUCACUGUCAUUCAUGUCAAGGAAAUACUUUUUGUUUGAAGUUAUAAUAAACAUUUCACAUCUUUUCA